UACGUAGGGUCCAAGCGUUAUCCGGAAUCACUGGGCGUAAAGCGUGCGUAGGUGGGUGCUUAAGUGAGUUGUUAAAUCGUGUGGCUCAACCAUAUCGAUGCAAUUCAUACUGGGCGCCUAGAGGACAGCAGAGGCAAGUGGAAUUAGCAGUGUAGCAGUGAAAUGCGUAGAUAUUGCUAGGAACACCAAUGGCGAAGGCAGCUUGCUGGGCUACUCCUGACACUGAGGUACGAAAGCGUGGGGAGCGAACAGG
rnacentral:rRNA from 1 species